GUAGCAGCAGUAGCAGCAGGUGGUAGGUAUGGACGAGUUUAGUGCCCAUCGGAAGGCAAAACAAACCUCGUGUCUCGUCUCAACAGGGAGCACACACGAGAGAAACUGUAUAGAGGGUGAACUUUUCCGUGCUUUUCUUCGGGCAACUCGCGGAAGCGCCGGAGAACUCUCGCGUCGCGUCGACUCAUAAGCCACUGACAUGCAAGUUAUGUUGGCCACUGGGCCCACGUGAGCAGCAGACACAUCCUCCUUCACAAGGAUGCCGCUCCCCCCUGCCAACAAUGCAAUCACCCCACCCGCUCUCCAAAUAAACCUAGUGGUUAGUGGCUGCUGACGCCGCCGCCAUUGGAAUAGGGCCAUUGGAUUGUGAUUCUAUUUUCAAUCAACCCAAAAACCAUCGGCCGAACAGCAGCAGCAGUGCGAUGAUGAUGAUGCUGAUCCCA